CCGGCGCACGGGUGAGUAACACGUAUGCAACCUGCCUGCCACAGCCGGAUAAUCGGGAGAAAUUCCGUCUAAUACGGCAUAAUGCAUCGACGGGACAUCCUGUUGGUGCCAAAGGUUAAUUCCGGUGGCGGAUGGGCAUGCGUCGCAUUAGUUAGUUGGCGGUGUAACGGACCACCAAGACGACGAUGCGUAGGGGUUCUGAGAGGAAGGUCCCCCACACUGGUACUGAGACACGGACCAGACUCCUACGGGAGGCAGCAG
rnacentral:rRNA from 1 species